GGUGGGGAAAAGAAAUUUCAUUUCUAUGCAAAAUAGUCUUGCUAUUGAAGUAAAGUUAGCUGAAGUUAGCCAAAGCCAUUGAGUACACAAUUGCCCAACCUGCCUGCCUCUCAUAUAACAUAUACCUUUCAUAAUCAAUCAUCAUAUCAAAAGAUAAGUAAAUUAUAAGUACACAAAAGCUAAAAGGCCAGCACCUAAAAUAAAAAUGUAAUAAUCUUUUGCAAGCAAGAGACAGAUUCAAAGUUCAAUACCCACAACCCAACAGAUAAAAACUGUAAAAAAGAAAAAAAGAAUGUAGGAAAGCAGAGUUUUUUGGUGUACAAAGGGAGAUAUAGACUAGAAUCUAGGGACCAGAAACUGAUAAAUUUUUUACACACAACAUCACAAAUCUGUCUGAAAAUCUUUUGAAGGUUGAAGAAAUAGUUAAGGUAAUUUUUUUCUUUUUUGUUUAGUUUAUUCAAUUCAAGCUUAGGAUUCUUGGGUCUGUGCCACUUUUGCAGGUAAAUUUUGGGAUAGUAUGCUUUCUUUACUAAUAUUUGGUGGAAAGUUCUUUAAAACCUCUUCCUUAGUAAACUUCCCUCGUUUCUCUCUUUAAUUACUGCAUUAUUGUUUUUUCCUUUGAGUUAGUAAGUUCAGGUAUCCCAGAAUAUCAACCAAUGACUUUAAACUGCUACAAGAAUGAUUUCAAUUAUGUUAUUUACAUGAAUCAUUCCAAUGCGCAAGACCUUUAUGUGUUCUUUUAGGUUGAAUCACAUCAUCUUAAAGCAUAAGUUCAACAG
rnacentral:lncRNA from 1 species